UACUUUGUUCCAUCGUUUUGUGAAUAUUCCAGGUCGCUUCGAGACUCGAAGAAACGCCAGUGUAUCGUCCAUGUGAUCGUAAAAGUUUAAGAUCUAGAAACUAUUCUGAAUCCUAAGACCAAAGGAGAAUGUAACUUCUCCUGUUCUUCCUCUUCGUGCAGUCUUCGUCUAAAAACGUUGGAAAGCGUAAACGCGUAAGAAUUGAAAGUUUCAGCCAGUUUUUAUAGUUAGGAAACACAUGGCGCGUGCUACUGGCUCGUCGAUGAAAAAUUGACAAGAGCAACGGUAUCUCGGAGGAUGUUCUUUCUACCCUUUUCCCGAUAAUACCGAUGUUUUAUAGGUUCGUGAGCCGUUAACACAGAGAGGGGAACGCGCUGGAUUUGUAACACUUUCUGCCGCAGCAAGAACACCGAUAACUUUUAUCUUUCGCGCCCGCAAACAUUCAGGCCAGUGUCUUUAUCUAACGUGAUCCCGUGGAUACGCGAGCCGAUAAGACUCGUGCACGGAAUAAACGAAUCGAGUGGUGGCUUUGAUCGACCCGCAGGAUAUAACCCGGAUACAACGUCUCAUGUGUACGGCAAGAAAUUGAUGUUCCAAGGCUGCCUGUCUUACCUCCCCUGUUAUCAAUCCCGGAUCAACGACAAGAACAGCGCAUAAAGAAAAGCUAGUUCCAUUAAGAAAUAGUUUCUUUCUUACGUAACAGUGUAAUAUCGUGGACAAAAGGCCUAAGAGAUAUCGGGUGAACCAUAAACAGUGUCGUGCGAAAGCCAAGGUGCCAACAGGCCCAUCGAUGUGUCGUCGUUCCUUCGUGAUCCUGGCUACGAGCGAUUGCGGAACACGUGCGUGGUGGAGCUAAGACAAAAGACAAAGGGAUGCUAAGGGACAUAGACGAAUUAACAGUCAGUGUCAGUGGAGAAGACGGAGAGUGCGAAUUUGAGAAGUCAGAGAUUGCGAAUUGCAUUGUCGAGAGAGCGUGAUCCGUGGUGACGAGAGUUGCGAAUUAACUAUCUAGUUGUCUUAAUUAUAGCACGUUUUACAACCAUACAUUUAGUUCACGUUAAACAACCAUCGUUUCCUGUUUAAUCAACAUCUGUACAACCCUUAAUUAUUAAUAAAUUAAUUAUAGUAUAAGAUGUUGAGGAAAUAUUAGGUUGGUAUGAUCACUAGUUCCUACAUGCUAAGUUGGUACGACUUUUAACGACGCUCCUUUGUCUUUGGCGUUGGCCACGUGUUAAUUAUCUGAAUGUAAGCGGUGUGUUCAUAUGGCUGUAUAUGGUGGUGAAAUACAGAACGUAAAAACUGAA